GACGAACGCUGGCGGCGUGCCUAAUACAUGCAAGUUGAGCGCUGAAGGUUGGUACUUGUACCGACUGGAUGAGCAGCGAACGGGUGAGUAACGCGUGGGGAAUCUGCCUUUGGGCGGGGGACAACAUUUGGAAACGAAUGCUAAUACCGCAUAAAAACUUUAAACACAAGUUUUAAGUUUGAAAGAUGCAAUUGCAUCACUCAAAGAUGAUCCCGCGUUGUAUUAGCUAGUUGGUGAGGUAAAGGCUCACCAAGGCGAUGAUACAUAGCCGACCUGAGAGGGUGAUCGGCCACAUUGGGACUGAGACACGGCCCAAACCCCUACGGGAGGCAGCAGUAGGGAAUCUUCGGCAAUGGACGAAAGUCUGACCGAGCAACGCCGCGUGAGUGAUGAAGGUUUUCGGAUCGUAAAACUCUGUUGGUAGAGAAGAACGUUGGUGAGAGUGGAAAGCUCAUCAAGUGACGGUAACUACCCAGAAAGGGACGGCUAACUACGUG
rnacentral:rRNA from 1 species